AACGAACGCUGGCGGCAUGCCUAACACAUGCCAGUCGAACGAGACCUUCGGGUCUAGUGGCGCACGGGUGCGUAACGCGUGGGAACCUGCCCUUAGGUUCGGAAUAACUCCCCGAAAGGGGUGCUAAUACCGGAUAAUGUCUUCGGACCAAAGAUUUAUCGCCUUUGGAUGGGCCCGCGUUGGAUUAGCUAGUUGGUAGGGUAAAAGCCUACCAAGGCGACGAUCCAUAGCUGGUCUGAGAGGAUGAUCAGCCACACUGGGACUGAGACACGGCCCAGACUCCUCCGGGGGGCAGCAGGGGGGAAUAUGGGCAAAUGGGCGAAAGCCUGACCCAGCAAGGCCGGGGGAGUGAUGAAGGCCUUAGGUUUGUAAAGCCUUUUUCCCCGGGAUGAUAAUGACAGUACCGGGAGAAUAAGCCCCGGCUAACUCCGU
rnacentral:rRNA from 1 species